rnacentral:tRNA from 1 species
GAGGAUAUAGCUCAGUGGUAGAGUGCGUGCCUAGCAUGUGCAAGGUCCUGGGUCCAAUCCCCAGCACCUCCA